CCCGCGAGCCCUCACUGCCCUCGGAGCCGCCGGUUCGAGUCCCGCGGCCGCGCCCCGCCCGGCUGAGGGGCUUGGAAAUCCGAGGCUUGGGGAUGUGGUUGGGUCUUUCUGCAGUCUCACGACAAGAACAGUCUGGAGGAAAGGAUGGGAAUUUGGAAACAGGACAUCCCCACUGCUCUUCUGGAUGGGACUGAUGGAAACAGAGCUUCAUGCCUUGGGGGUGAGGGAGCUGUGCCGUGCUGGUCUGUGACAGACGCCAACGCUCCGGCGAGCAGCGACAGCCUCGGGGAGAGCCGUGGAGCCCAUGGAAUAGAGGAGAGUCCCCGGCGCGGUGUCUCCAGCAGGACCCGGAGCAGCCCGAGGCAGGGACAGGAGCCGGACAUGCCCGAGCCAGCCCCGCUCGGCGGGGACAGGAAAGCGGCGGAGAAGAAGCGGGGGGAGAAGGUGGGAGCCAAGGGCAGCGCUGCCGGGCCGCCAGUCCCCAGGACCCUCCCGGUGCAGAGCAAGGUGGAGCCGCCCAGCCUGGACCCUGCGGAGGAGCCGCUGCUCUGGGAAGGGCUCACCCUCAACAAGUGCAUCCUGGUGGCCUCCGUGGUCGCCCUGCUCAGCGUCACCUUCCAGGUGCUCCAAGCUCCAUGCUCCAAGGAGGGACUGGCCCGCGGCCGGCAGGAGCCUCCGCCCCCUCCCGUUCCCGAGGCUGUGAGCCCCAAGGCGGAGAUCCCAGAGGCGGUGACCGCCCAGGCUGAGCCGCCACCGGAGAGCAGCGCGGUGGAGGAUGAUGGUGAUGAUGAAGACGGUGACGAUUACGAUGACAGCGAAGCUGACAGCAACCUGGCAGAACCCUGGAUCUUCAAGAAGUGGUUUGGCCGCGCAACACCAGAGGAUGAGGACAAGGAUGAGGACAAGAAUGGGGACAAGGAUGAGGACAAGGAUGAGGACAAGGAUGAGGAUAAGGAUGAGGAUGAGGAUGAGGACAAGGAUGAAGAACCUGCAGCUGUCCUCGAGGUGCCAGUGGCUGUGAUGGAGGGGAAGAAGAGCCAGGAGAAGAAAGUGGAGAAGGAGGAGGAGGAAGAGGAAGAAAAAGAGGAGAAGGAGAAAGAAAAAGAGGAGAAUGAGGAGGAGGAGGAGAAUGAGAAGAAGGAGGAGGAAGCGGAGGAGGAGAAGGAGGAGAAGAAGAAGGAGGGGAAGAAGGAGAAAGCCCGGGAAGGCCGUGCUGUCCAUGUGGAGCGGAGCAGCCGGAGGGAGGCACGAGCCAAGGACAGGACAGCGGGGGACAAACCUGGCAGAGCCCCCAGGGCCCCCAGGGAAGCCGAGCAGCAGCCCCAGAAGAAGCGAGACCGGGAGAGGAAGGAGAGGAAGGAGAGACGGCGGGAGAGGGAUGAGUCCAGGAGGGACGGGUGGAGGGGCCGUCCCGGCAGGGCUGAGGGUGGCCGGGAGAGCCCGAGGGAGAGCCCGAGGCGGGACUGGAAGCAGCAGAAGGGCAGGAGGCCCUGGGAGCCGGCGCCGGGCAGGGACGGCAGGGCCAGGGAGGGCAAGAGGCGCGACUGAGGCCGGGGUGGGCGUGGGGCUCGAUGGCGCUGGAUCCAGGGGGAUCCAAUCCCACCACUGCCCCCGGCAAGGGACCCCCGGCCCUGCCUGCUCUCCAGAGACACCCCUGGGCACGGGCAGCACACCAGGACCCCUGAGCAGCAGCAGAGCAGCCCAGGAGCCUGGCAUGAGCCUCCCUGGGGACUUUGGGCCCCCCUGGAUCAAAGGCGACCUGAAAGGACUCAUGGAAGGAGCUUCUUCGGGACUCCUUACUUCUCCAUCCCCACCCAAAACCCCUCUGCAGCUCUCCUCCACUCGUGGUUCCAGGGUGAACAGAGUUGUGUCCAGACUGUGCAGCUCUUGGUUAAUGGUUUUAUUGAAAGCAAAUCAGGAGAGAAGAAUAUUCUGGGUUACGGAAGCAGGCUGCAGCCUCCUCCGAGGGACACCAGGGACAGACCCCUGACCUCACCCAGCCCAGUGCCAUCGCUGCGGGGUGGCCCAGAAGGUGACAGAGCAGGGCUGGAGCCCUUCACCCGGGGAUCCCUGCGGGCCUCGCCUUCUCCGAGUCGCUUUUAGGAAGGAAACACAAGAGCAAUAUCACACAGCCAGAGUUCACAGCCCCGACCCAUGGCAGGUUUCAGUGUUUGCUAAAUCAACAGCGGUUAAAAUAAACUAUUUUCAUUUUUAAUAAGGUAUUCA
ensembl:lncRNA